rnacentral:rRNA from 1 species
CUUGGUGUUACUGCGAAGGGGGGACGGAGAAGGCUAUGUUAGCCGGGCGACGGUUGUCCCGGUUUAAGCAUGUAGGCUGGUUAUCCAGGCAAAUCCGGAUAAUCAAGGCUGAGGUGUGAUGACGAGGCACUACGGUGCUGAAGUAACAAAUGCCCUGCUUCCAGGAAAAGCCUCUAAGCAUCAGGUAACAUCAAAUCGUACCCCAAACCGACACAGGUGGUCAGGUAGAGAAUACCAAGGCGCUUGAGAGAACUCGGGUGAAGGAACUAGGCAAAAUGGUG